UUGUGUGUGAGACAUCUGUUUAGCUAAUCUUCUAGGUUAAGUUAAUGCGAAGAAAAUGAAUAGAUUGUUUGUAAAACAUGACAUUUAAGAGUAAAAUAAUUAACAUUUUCAUAACGUGAUGUGACGACAGGUUAGCGUUAGUCAGCUGUGUGUGUGUUAACAGUCACCUGAGCUUGAUUUUCACUUUCAUUUUAUUAAUAGCUACUUUAAUAUGCUAAUAAGUUUAUUUAGAUUUUUUUUUAUGUAUUGCAUUUUGACUUUAUAAAUCUAUAUAAUUAGGACUCGACUUGGCUAGUAAUCAGUUAGCAGCUCAGUGUUGCCUGCUCUCCUCGGGGGAAAGUAUAAUAAUAUAUUAUUAAUGCAUGCUGUAGAAGUCUCCGGAUGAUGUCAUAGACUCAUUUGCAUAUGCACUGAUGGCCAUGAUCAUUUGCAUAUCAGAACGUGUUACAUGAAGAUUUUAUGAAGACACUUAGUAUAGAAUAGACUUUGAUAGAAAGAAGUUGUUUCUGGUUUUCGCUAUCUCUAUCUCACUCUUGCUCUCGCUCUUUCAAUCACCUCACCAUGUUUUGCGCUCUAUGAUACGAGGUCCACAGAGCGACGCCCGCUACUGACCACAGUGACUCAGGUGAUGAGCAGAAACCUUGGUGCGGAAAGGAGACCUCCAGGUUGUUAGUGUUUGUGAGGUUGGUGGAGGGACGCCAAGCUCUGUUGGACACGGUGGACCAACAGGACGGAGAGCUCCAAAGCCCACGACCGAUAACUCGGGCCUACUAGUGUCCAAGUGCUGCACCAGGCAGGGUUCUGCACUGUUUCAGCCGGACCGGGAGUCGCAGUGUGGGCGUCGGCGUGUGGGCAGCAGGUCCAGGUCAUCUCCGUGGUGAGGAAUUUUAAUUUCAAAUGAAAUGAAAGUUGCUU